UAUUUUAACUCUAAUCUGAUUAGGAUCUACUCAGUUUGGUAUUCUUAUGCAAAAUGUCAAAAAUUUUGAGUUAUUAUCCAUGAUGUUUACUCACCCCUGAGUAUAUGUAUAUGUCAAAAGUUUUCAACAGCAAUAUUAUCGGUUUCCGAAGAACAAUUGGUGUCGCUUUUUAUUCGUUGGCUAGCACCCAACAUCAGUAUUGCAGAGGAUUUGAAAACACCUAAAAGAUCUCUUCAAAAUGAACAACCGCAUGUUGUAUGUUCUACGAUGCCGUUUAAAGCCGGACUUUUAUUCGUGAUAACAAACGGAAACGUUUGUAUUGAUGUACAGUGCUCAACAAUCGAUGCAAUUUAAAUCCUUCGCAGUAUUAGGUGACGAAUGAUGACGGCUGGCACAAAAAAGUAAGUCACAGUUCACGGGCAAAUGUCAACCGGUUGGGUGCCGCAUUCAAUGAAGAC